GGUUCCUCCCCUCCCCUCCAACUCUGUGCCCUUCAUGCCUCCCCUCAAUUGCCCUCUAUCCAUAUUUUUCAUAAACCCCCUCCCUCUGCUCCCCUCCAUCCCCUUGCCCUCCCUUCCCCCUCCGCGCAGGGGCUGUUCGUGGGGGCUCGCUCCCCCCUCUCCUCCUCCCUCCUUCCCUCCCUCCCUACCCCCCUCGUUUAUUUGGAACGCUCGAAUAAGAAGUGCUGGGCUCUCGCUCAGACUUAAGGGGCGAGACUGACGCCCUCGCCAAAAGCUACCCUUCUCCACACCCCAGUCCCGCCGGCUUCAGACUUCUCGCUGAGAUUCCGCUAUACCGGCAGGCAGUGAGGUUGGGGGAGACCUGGUGGUUCCCUCAGCCCAUCAGAACAGCUGUCGGCGGGUUUAGAGUGGCCCCGACCGCAGGCACGUCCGGGCUGCUCUUCUGCGAAGGAGACUUGCUCCUCGGGAGGCUCCCCGCAAGGCUGAGCCCCCCGAGGCUGCUGUUUUGGGGAAGGGCGACCGCCAAGGUCCAGCUGGCCCGACAGGCAGAGUCGCCCCUCCGAGGAUGCGCCUGAGACUUGGGAGAGGAAGGAGGAAAGAGAAGCGCCCCGGCAAAGGGGCCGUCGAUUUUUUUUUUUUUUUUUUUAUUUCUGUGCUUUAAUGGAAGCCAUCAGUUAGUUCUCAGAAGACAGGGCUGGCUGAGGCAGCCCGCACGGCGCUGCUAGAAAGCGCCCGGGUGAAACCUGCGGCCAACUGCGAUGUGUCCAGGUAUCCUAGGGGGCGGCCACUUUUUGUAAUACCAGGACACAAAAUAGUCUCCAGGGGUGGGAGAUAUGAUUACUGUGUUUACCUGUUGACAAAAGGGAAAUGCAAACUAUAGCCUAACGUGACAUCGUUUGCAAAGGUAGCUUUCAUUAGACAAAAGUCAAUUUUACCUUCCCGCAAAACCCGUCUGAACCUUUGGAACUUUUAUUUGCGGCAAUUUGGCGCCCUCUGGCUGUAUUUGGAUUAUUUUCAUGUUCGCCUACGUUUCAGCCAAGGAAAAUGAUCAACUUGCGGGUUGUCCUACAGGGCGGAUGCCCUCUUGACCUGGGCACUAACUCUGGACAAGCCUGACCUCCAGAAUCAGGGUGACAAAAUGUAACCACAUUUAGAUAGACACACACUAAAGAAAAAGAACAGGAGAGAAGAAAUUGCCCAAGAGAAUAUAGAAAGAUUUCCCCAGAAUUGAGGACCACCGCAUCCAAAUUAAAAAGGCAGUUUGAGUGUCAAACACAAUGAGUGAAAAGAUCACACCAUAUUGAAAUGUCGAAACUGCAGAAAGAGAAGAUGCCAGAGAUGUCCACGGAGGAAACAAAGGAAUGGAGUCAGAAAUCAGAAUGGCAAAACUAAAGGUUGCUCAUAAAAUCUCGAAGUCUGGGAGUCCCUGUGAUAGCUUUACAAUGACUCUGGAAAAAACCUUGAGAAUCCUCCAAAGCUGUUUUCCAUAUAAGACAGUCCCUGCUCAGAUCCCUGGGCUUUGCUGUUCUAUACUCUCCAGGAAGCUACAGCAGGAGGCAGGGAGGCCAGGACCCUCACCUCCACUCAAAUACCAACAUGCAGGACAGAUGGAAAGCCGGCCUCAGCUCAACCAAAGCUACAGGGAGGGCACCCCAUCAUGCAAACCAGUAAGGAAGCAGCCUCACCUAGCCACCUGCUAUUCCCUCCCCACCCACUUGUUGUAAGCCUUCUAGAAUAAAAUGGAUAUGAAGCUUUAA